UAGAGUUUGAUCCUGGCUCAGAACGAACGCUGGCGGCGUGCCUAACACAUGCAAGUCGAGCGAGAAAGCCCGCAAGGGUGAGUAAAGCGGCGCACGGGUGCGUAACACGUGGAUAAUCUGCCCUGAAGUCCGGAAUAACUCGCCGAAAGGCGUGCUAAUGCCGGAUGAGACCACGGGAGCUCCGGCUCCUGCGGGAAAAGGUGGCCUCUGUACACAAGCUAUCGCUUCAGGAUGAGUCCGCGGCCCAUCAGCUCGUUGGCGGGGUAAUGGCCCACCAAGGCUACGACGGGUAGCUGGUCUGAGAGGACGAUCAGCCACACUGGAACUGAGACACGGUCCAGACUCCUACGGGAGGCAGCAGUGGGGAAUCUUGCGCAAUGGGCGAAAGCCUGACGCAGCAACGCCGCGUGUGUGAUGAAGGUCUUCGGACCGUAAAGCACUGUCGCGAGGGACGAAUAAGGGGCGGGCUAACAUCCCGUUCCGAUGACGGUACCUCGAGAGGAAGCACCGGCUAACUCUGUGCCAGCAGCCCCGGUCAA
rnacentral:rRNA from 1 species